rnacentral:rRNA from 1 species
GGAUAACAUGCCCUUAGGAGGGGGAUAAUCUCGAGAAAUUGAGGAUAAUACCCCAUAGGCCAUGAAUGCUGGAAUGCUUUAUGGCCCAAAGCUCCGGCGCCUAAGGAUUGGUCUGCGGCCUAUCAGGUUGUAGUGGGUGUAACGGACCCACUAGCCUAUGACGGGUAUGGGCCUUGAGAGAGGGAGCCCAGAGAUGGACUCUGAGACACGAGUCCAGGCCCUACGGGGCGCAGCAGUCGCGAAACCUUCACACUGGGGGAAACCCUGAUGAGGGAAUUCCUAGUGCCUGCAUUUUUUGUAGGCUUUUAUCUAGUGUAGAUAGCUAGAAGAAUAAGGGCCGGGUAAGACGGGUGCCAGCCGCCGCGGUAAUACCCGCGGCCCAAGUGGUGGUCGAUAUUAUUGAGUCUAAAACGUCCGUAGCCGGUUCAGUAAAUCUUUGGGUAAAUCGGCCAGCUUAACUGACCGAAUUCCGAAGAGACUGCUGAACUUGGGACCGGGAGAGGCCAGAGGUACUUCUGGGGUAGGGGUAAAAUCCUGUAAUCCUAGAAGGACCACCGGUGGCGAAGGCGUCUAGCUAGAACGGAUCCGACGGUGAGGGACGAAGCCCUGGGGCGCAAACGGGAUUAGAUACCCCGGUAGUCCAGGGUGUAAACGCUGCAGGCUUGGUGUUGGGGGUCCUUCGGGGGCGCCCAGUGCCGGAGAGAAGUUGUUAAGCCUGCUACUUGGGGAGUACGUCCGCAAGGAUGAAACU